rnacentral:rRNA from 1 species
UGACGGUACCCUACUAUAAAGGAGCCGCUAACUUCGUGCCAGAAGCGUCCGUAAUACGGGGGCUCCAAGCGUUAUCCGGUGUUAUUGGGCGUAAAGAGUCGUGUAGGUGGUUGGGUAAGUUAUCUUUCAAACAUCUUUGCUUAACAAAGAGGAGGGGGAUAAUACUGCUCGACUAGAAUUUUCUCAAGGGAGAUCGGAACUGAGGGAGGAGUAGUGAAAUGCGUUGAUACCCUCGGGAACACCAGUGGCGUAGGCGGAUCUCUGGGAGAAGAUUGACACUGAGACACGAAAGCUAGGGGAGCGAAGCAGAUUAGAGACCUGCGUAGUCCUAGCCGUAAACGCAUGCUUGCUAGCUGCAUGAAUCUACCUUCGGGUGGUAUCGUGUGGCGAAGGUAACCCGUUAAGCAAGCCGCCUGGAAAGUACGGCCGCAAGGCUGAAAUUCAAAGGAAUUGGCGGGGAGGCACACAACCAGUGGAACAUGUGGUUUAAUUCGAGACUAACCGAAGAACCUCACCAGGGUUUGACAUGUAGCUGCACGUCUUAAGAAAUUAAGACUCUCUUGAAGGUGCUACACAGGUGCUGCAUGGCUGUCGUCAGCUCGUUCCGUGAGGAGUGCCCUUAAGUGGGACAACGAGCGCAACCCCUAUUACAUGUUAGAAAUGUCAUGUAAGACUGCCUUGCCAUUUGGCGGGGAGGAAGGAGGGGCAGACGUCAAGUCCGCAUGGUCCUUAUGCCAUGGGCUACACACAUGUUACAAUGAGUACGGCAAUGAGUCUGUCGCGAGCACGUAAGUGUAAGCUAAUCUCUUAAAUGUACUCUCAGUGGGGAUUGAGGUCUGCAACUCGACCUCAUGAACACGGAAUUGGUAGUAAUCGCGGGUCAGCUAUACCGCGGUGAUACGUUCUUGCCUCUUGCACACACCGCCCGUCAAACCAGCAAAGUCGAUUGUAUCCGAACCU